rnacentral:misc_RNA from 1 species
AGAGAGAGAGAGAGAGAGCUCCAAUAAGGAAGGACAACAACAACACAAACAUACUCGUAGCCAUGGCUUCUUUAUGGGAUUAUGCUUUAGGGGCCUUUAGAGGAGGUUUUUGAGCGUUUUUCAGUAAGAUCAGGGGGCACUCCUCUAUUCUGUUGUCACGUGUUUGUUAUCUGUUUUGCUAUUGCUGUGUUUCGGUUAAGUGAAGAAGUUUCCUGUCUUUCUUUAAUAAACUAUUUUUUUUCUUGUAAAAAGAAAAAAAAAUUUCUAUUGAUCCAAUCAAAACAAUCUCCUUGGAUUCAUACAAAGAACUAUAUGCAUCGAGAAUGUCGGCCAUCAAGUUCUAAUACCAUGUAGAGAAAAUAGACGCAAUCUAACUCAAUCCUAAAAGCUAGCUCAAGGGGAGG